rnacentral:tmRNA from 1 species
CCUUUAAAUCGUCAGACAUUGCGCUUAUAUUGGUUUUGUUCCUUCGGGGACUAUGGUGAUAAACGCGCAUGUAAUACACGGAUCGGACCCGGGGGCGGUACCCGGCGACUCCACCAAAAAUCCCUUCAUUUGGGGGCGGUAUGGGGUCGAAAUAGGAUCGACGGACGUCUAAAGAUGUUAGCUUUUUCCCGGCAGACUGCCACCGUUAUCGGCGUAAAAUGUACAAUUGCAAAUGACAAUCGUGCUCCGGUAGCUUUGGCUGCGUAAGCAGUUCGAGCAAUCGAAACUUAACUCCUUGCGCAUAGCUGUGUAAGGCGGGGUUCGCAGGUACCUGGCAACAGAAACCUG